rnacentral:tRNA from 1 species
GGAGAGAUGGCUCAGCAGUUAAGAGCACUGGCUGCUCUCCCAGAGGACCUGAGUUCAAUUCCCAGUGCCUACA